CUUUAUAUUACAAGCCGGGGGCCUCGAGGGCUAGAAUACAGAAGCUCGAAAAACACACGAGUUAGCGGAAGCAACAAUAUAUGAGUACAAACAUUAAACAAGAGGUGUCUUAGAGAAGGCUAGCACAAAACAAACACGAUCGAACGAGGCGAGGCCUCCUACCUGGGAACCUCCUAACUACUCCUAUUCUUCAGCGGCCUCCACGAAGAAGUCACCAUCGGGGUGGCAGGCGUUGGCAGGAAAACUCCAUCUCCCGGGCUCCAAUAUCUGGUUGCAGCAACGGAUCAAGGGGCAAAGGGGGAGCGAAGCAACGGUGAGUACUCAUCCAAAGUACUCGCAAGACUUACAUCAGAACUAUACUAAGUAUGCAUCAGUAUCAAGGGAGGGGGCGUUUAUAUGUGGACUGACUGCAGCAAUGCGAGAAUAGAGAGAGAAGACCUAUUCCUAUCGAAGACUAGCAUCUUCAGGGUCUUGCAGCAAUAGACGAGAGUAGAACAAGAUAGCACAAAUAAUAGUCAUAUUGUUGCAUCAAUAUUAAUAUGAGGUCACACACAGAGAUCCUCCCUCGACUCCCUACGAGGAAGCAAUCCCGGGACAAAUAAUUCCAGUUAAGUAACAGUUGUAGUUGUAUAAGAUCAGGGCACAACUCCAAGUCGUCCUGUAAUCAUGGACACGACUAUCCGAAUAGUUCAUUUCUUCCCUACAGGGGUGCACAACAUAUUCCAGACGCGCUCGAUAACAAUCUCAUCGGACACACUUUUCUGGGUCAUGCCCGACCUCGAAAUAUCGACAUGUGCAGCCCCAUCUAAGCUCAACACAGAGGCCAGCCCGCCGGUCUAACUCUUGGUUCGUGGCCCACUUGCCCUCUGCGCUCCUGCACGAUGCGUGGGCGGCCGACGUCAGUGCUAGCACCUCUUAAUAACAAGCGCGAUGCAUCUCGGGACCACUCGGGCGUGCGCCGCUCCAUUGCUGACGUUUGAAAAGCUUCAGCUCAUACCACGACGCCGAGUACCCAUAAUUAUUCCCAAGCAGACGGUUAGUGCGUAAUAAGGCCUUCCGACCAACCCAGAUCAAAUAUCCAAAUCCAUUAACAUUUUAAUUAAGUCAUCGACACAUCCACGCGGGAAUCCACCCACCUAAUAUCUAUACAUCAAAGUAACAUGGUCAAGUAACUGUGUGGUUAUAACAUCGGGGGAUCCGAGGUAUCAUCCUAGUUGGAUGCCGAACGAUGUAACCGUCAAGGUGGACCUGGAGGAAUCACCCUCGAGGGUCUCACACUUGAGGGGUUGUACGACAGAGGCAUCGUCGGGAAUGGUGAAGGAGGAAUCAUCCUCGAUAACCACGACUGCCUAGCUGUACUACAAAGCUAUCAUCUGGAGUACUUCGGGAGGUGUCACCCUCGGUACUCGAUAGUAGCUCUGUAGCGUCGCACAACUAAGGGGGGUGUAAGUGAUGUGUGGGAUCUGGCUCGUUGAUCUGGGAUCGAGACUAGACAAUAAAGCAGGGCAACUAGACUAAAGGGGUCAAAGGGGAUGACUGGUCCACCUAUAAUAAACAGUUUAAAGUUACAGUAUUGAAAGUACCAGUUCAUCAAAAAUAGGCUAUGCAUCAGAUAUAGGAGCUAACUACAACGGUAACAAAAUUCUAAUGCAAGCAUGAUGAAGAAAGAAUAGACGAUAUAGGAAUGAUUAAGGGGGUUUGCUUGCCUGGUUGCUCUGCAGACAAAACGGAUCCUCGACCGGGAAGUAGUCGAUCACCGGAUCAUCAUCGACCUCGGGGUUUACCGGUAAGAAGAGGGGGAAGAAACAAUAAAUAACAGCAACAGGUGCAACACUAAGCAUGACAUGGCCAUAUGCAGACUAAGCAUGAGCUAAUACAGCAACACAUGUCGAAGACGGGUCGGAAGAAUAUCUAACGAUAUUUUCCGGGUCUCUGGCUACUACCGGUCAGAUGAAAAACGAUGAAAAAGUUCCACGUUUGCCCUGCUAGGGACACGUGACAGAUGAACGGAUAACGUAUCCGGGUUCGUCUCGUUUUUCUGAUCAACUUUCAUGUAUAAAUUAUUUUCAUCUGACUUACGGGUUUUCCUGUUAAUUUUCAAUGUUUCAAUGGUUUUUUGAAAUUUCUAGAUUUAUUAUAAUUCGAGUUGACCCAGUCAAUUUGACUGGUGAGAAAAGGAAAAGUUCCUAUCUUUUUUCGUUAACGCAGAGCAGUCAGAUAACGAACUGGAAACCUUACUUUAGUUCAUUCCUUUUACGCACUUAGUCAGAAAAACUAGGAAGUACUGAAACUGAUCCUAUUUCAGAUCUGGAAUUUCAUUCCAACUUAGGCCGUUUGGAAUUGGCAUAGCUUGAUCUAUGAACUCUCGGCACGUACGACAGUUGCUUCGACAAACAUUUGGUAGACUAGCUUUCGAAGUGCCAUUAAGAUCCAGAGAGUGGGGUGGCCCACAUGUCACAUACACCUAUUUUAUAUGAUGAUUAUAAAUAAACAAGAGGCCCAAUGGCAUAUAUAGAUUAUAACUAAGCAAAUAAUUAAAAACUAACCUAAUUAAAUUGGCUUCACAUGUCAUACACACAUUAGACUAACUAUAUUAAACAACUAAACUAUAAUCUAGGUAACCUAAGUAGCAUUGACUAAUAAGUAGACACUAGCAAUGUGGCACACCGGCCACACACACAGCACACACACACGUUUUGCACACACGGGGGCUACGCAUCCAAACACACACACACGUUUGGCACACAACACAAAGGGACAUCUAGCCAUGGCCAGCCCCAAGCAGCAGCAUAGAACGGCAGCGGUAGCAAGCUUCGGCAGUUUGGGCUAGACGCAACAUUAAUAGACAGUAGUAGCAGUAGUGAGCAGCGGCAACAAGCAGCAGCGAGCACGCAAUAGCAAGCAGCGCAGCUAGUAGCAGCAGCGUCAGAGCAG
rnacentral:lncRNA from 1 species